rnacentral:rRNA from 1 species
CGUUCUGUAAGCCUGUGAAGGUGUGUCGUGAGGCAUGCUGGAGGUAUCAGAAGUGCGAAUGCUGACAUAAGUAACGAUAAAGCGGGUGAAAAGCCCGCUCGCCGGAAGACCAAGGGUUCCUGUCCAACGUUAAUCGGGGCAGGGUGAGUCGACCCCUAAGGCGAGGCCGAAAGGCGUAGUCGAUGGGAAACGGGUUAAUAUUCCCGUACUUGGUGUUACUGCGAAGGGGGGACGGAGAAGGCUAUGUUGGCCGGGCGACGGUUGUCCCGGUUUAAGCGUGUAGGUGUGUGUUCCAGGUAAAUCCGGUUCACUUUAACACUGAGGCGUGACGACGAGGCACUACGGUGCUGAAGCAACAAAUGCCCUGCUUCCAGGAAAAGCCUCUAAGCAUCAGGUAACACGAAAUCGUACCCCAAACC